CCUACGGGAGGCAGCAGUGGGGGAUAUUGCACAAUGGGGGGAACCCUGAUGCAGCGACGCCGCGUGGGUGAAGAAGCGCCUCGGCGCGUAAAGCCCUGUCAGCAGGGAAGAAAAUGACGGUACCUGAAGAAGAAGCCCCGGCUAACUACGUGCCAGCAGCCGCGGUAAUACGUAGGGGGCAAGCGUUAUCCGGAUUUACUGGGUGUAAAGGGGGCGCAGACGGCGAUGCAAGCCAGGAGUGAAAGCCCGGGGGCCAACCCCGGGACUGCGCUUGGCACUGCGUGGCUGGAGUGCAGGAGGGGCAGGCGGAAUUCCUGGUGUAGCGGUGAAAUGCGUAGAUAUCAGGAGGAACACCGGUGGCGAAGGCGGCCUGCUGGACUGCAACUGACGUUGAGGCCCGAAAGCGUGGGGAGCAAACAGGAUUAGAUACCCGGGUAGUC
rnacentral:rRNA from 1 species